GCGUCCAUCGUCUAAUGGAUAGGACAUAGGUCUUCUAAACCUUUAGUAUAGGUUCAAAUCCUAUUGGACGUA
rnacentral:tRNA from 8 species